GACGAACGCUGGCGGCGUGCUUAACACAUGCAAGUCGAACGGAAGGGCCCUGCUUUUGUGGGGUGCUCGAGUGGCGAACGGGUGAGUAACACGUGAGUAACCUGCCCUUGACUUUGGGAUAACUUCAGGAAACUGGGGCUAAUACCGGAUAGGAGCUCCUGCUGCAUGGUGGGGGUUGGAAAGUUUCGGCGGUUGGGGAUGGACUCGCGGCUUAUCAGCUUGUUGGUGGGGUAGUGGCUUACCAAGGCUUUGACGGGUAGCCGGCCUGAGAGGGUGACCGGCGACAAUGGGACUGAGAUACGGACCAGAAUCGUACGGGAGGCAGCAGUGGGGAAUAUUGCACAAUGGGGGGAAGCCUGAUGCAGCAACGCCGCGUGCGGGAUGCCGGCCUUCGGGUUGUAAACCGCUUUCGCCUGUGACGAAGAGUGAGUGACGGUAAUGAGUAAAGAAGCACCGGCUAACUACGUG
rnacentral:rRNA from 1 species